GUGGGGAAUCUUGCGCAAUGGGCGAAAGCCUGAUCCAGCCAUGCCGCGUGUGUGAAGAAGGUCUUCGGAUUGUAAAGCACUUUAAGUUGGGAGGAAGGGUAGUAACCUAAUACGUUGCUACUUUGACGUUACCGACAGAAUAAGCACCGGCUAACUUCGUGCCAGCAGCCGCGGUAAUACGAAGGGUGCAAGCGUUAAUCGGAAUUACUGGGCGUAAAGCGCGCGUAGGUGGUUCAGUAAGUUGGAAGUGAAAUCCCCGGGCUCAACCUGGGAACUGCUUUCAAAACUGCUGAGCUAGAGUACGGUAGAGGGUGGUGGAAUUUCCUGUGUAGCGGUGAAAUGCGUAGAUAUAGGAAGGAACACCAGUGGCGAAGGCGACCACCUGGACUGAUACUGACACUGAGGUGCGAAAGCGUGGGGAGCAAACAGGAUUAGAAACCCGAGUAGUCC
rnacentral:rRNA from 1 species